CCUACGGGUGGCAGCAGUGAGGAAUAUUGGUCAAUGGACGAGAGUCUGAACCAGCCCAGUAGCGUGAAGGAUGACUGCCCUAUGGGUUGUAAACUUCUUUUAUAUGGGAAUAAAACGUUCCACGUGUGGGAUUUUGUAUGUACCAUAUGAAUAAGGAUCGGCUAACUCCGUGCCAGCAGCCGCGGUAAUACGGAGGAUCCGAGCGUUAUCCGGAUUUAUUGGGUUUAAAGGGAGCGUAGGUGGAUUGUUAAGUCAGUUGUGAAAGUUUGCGGCUCAACCGUAAAAUUGCCGUUGAAACUGGCAGUCUUGAGUACAGUAGAGGUGGGCGGAAUUCGUGGUGUAGCGGUGAAAUGCUUAGAUAUCACGAAGAACUCCGAUUGCGAAGGCAGUUCACUGGACUGCAACUGACACUGAGGCUCGAAAGUGUGGGUAUCAAACAGGAUUAGAUACCCGAGUAGUC
rnacentral:rRNA from 1 species